GAUGAAGAACGCAGCGAAAUGCGAUAAGUAAUGUGAAUUGCAGAAUUCAGUGAAUCAUCGAAUCUUUGAACGCACCUUGCGCUCCUUGGUAUUCCGAGGAGCAUGCCUGCCUGGGCGUCACACGUCGUUGCCCCCCCAUCUACUCCUUCGGGAUUGCGGGGGGCGGAUGAUGGCCUCCCGUGCGCCUCGCCGCGCGGUUGGCAUAAAUGCCAAGUCCUCGGCGACGCACGCCACGACAAUCGGUGGUUGCGAAACCUCGGUUGCCCGUCGUGUGCGGUCGUCGCGCAUCGAGGGCUCGAAAAAAUUGCCGGGUUCCGGCUCGGCUUUCAACGCGACCCCAGGUCAGGCGGGGUUACCCGCUGAAUUUAAGCAUAUCAAUAAGCGGAGGA
rnacentral:misc_RNA from 1 species